rnacentral:rRNA from 1 species
GACUCGCUUGGCACCUUACGAGAAAUCAAAGUCUUUGGGUUCUNNNNGAACUUAAGCAUAUCAAUAAGCGGAGGAAAAGAAACCAACAGGGAUUGCCUCAGUAACGGCGAGUGAAGCGGCAACAGCUCAAAUUUGAAAGCUGGCCCUUUCAGGGUCCGCGUUGUAAUUUGUAGAGGAUGCUUCGGGCGCGGCGCUGGUCUAAGUUCUUUGGAACAAGACGUCAUAGAGGGUGAGAAUCCCGUAUGUGACUAGCUGCCUGUGCCUGUGUGAAGCUCCUUCGACGAGUCGAGUUGUUUGGGAAUGCAGCUCAAAAUGGGUGGUGUACUUCAUCUAAAGCUAAAUAUUGGCCAGAGACCGAUAGCGCACAAGUAGAGUGAUCGAAAGAUGAAAAGCACUUUGGAAAGAGAGUUAAACAGUACGUGAAAUUGUUGAAAGGGAAGCGCUUGCAAUCAGACUUGCGCGGCGUCGAUCAGCCUGGGUUCUCCCUGGUGCACUCGGCGCUGCUCAGGCCAGCAUCAGUUUCAGCGGUUGGAUAAAGGCCUAGGGAACGUGGGUUACUUCGGUGACUGUUAUAGCCCUAGGUGCAAUGCAGCCUGUUGGGACUGAGGACCGCGCUUCGGCUUAGGAUGCUGGCGUAAU